CGUCAUCAGAAAGAGACAUGAUUCUUAUGCAUUAGACACGAUUAGACAUCCAUGAAAAUAUACACGAGACAGCUGCUAACAGAAAGUGGAACAAAGUGCCCUGAGUAAAUGUAGCCGCUUUACAGCUGACAGGACGUGAGCAGGCUGAGAGUCAGACUCCCGCCACUCACUCACGUACAGUCCCAGACCCAGGUCAGAGGUCAUGUGCCAGGUGGAGGAGGAGUACCACGGGCCGCUGCUGCGCGAGGAGCUGCCCAGUGUUUCUAGGCAAUGUGUGAAAUGCAAAGAGGCAAGUGCAGCGGUGGUGAUCCGAGCAGGAGAUGCAUACUGCAGGGGCUGUUUCAAGGAGUACUUCAUUCAUAAGUUCAGAGCCAUGCUGGGCAAAAAUAGGCUGAUUUUCCCUGGAGAAAAGGUGCUGCUGGCGGUGUCUGGAGGGCCUUCUUCCUGCUCCAUGCUCAGUCAAGUCCAAGAGGGUUUGAGUCAGAAUGCUCACAAGAAGUUGAGAUUCUUACCCGGCAUUGUCUACAUUGACGAGGGGGGCGCUGUGGGUCAGUCGGUGGAGCACAGACGGAGGACGGUGGAGGAGCUCCGGGCUGUAUUCAGAGCUACAGGCUUCCCCUUCCUCAUGGUGCCUCUGGAGCAGGUUCUGGACCUUCCCAGUUCAGUUGUUCUGUCGGCUCCGGGAGCUCCAGAACAGGAAGCCGGCGCCUACAAAGCAGCCGUGGAUCACUUCCUGCUCAGCAACGGCAGCAGCGGUGUGACUGCAGGGCAGCAGCAGGAAACCCCCCCGCCUGAGGUCCAGGAGGCCCACACACACUCCCUGCAGCGGCUCCUGGGCUCUGCCAGGACCCUGACAGCCCGGGAGGAGCUGCUGAACAUACUGAGGCAGCACCUGCUGGUGCACACGGCGCGCUCUGCAGGCUACAGCAAGCUGAUGCUGGGGGACAGCUGCACCAGGCUGGCUGUGAAACUGCUUAGCAGCAUCUCACUGGGCAGAGGGGCUCAGCUGGCUCACGACACAGGUUUCUCAGACUCCAGGUAUGGUGACACCAUACUAGUGAGGCCAAUGAGGGACUACUCAGCUAAAGAAAUAGCUUACUACAACCGUAUGUUCAGCGUGCCGUCGGUGUUCACAGCGGGCCUGGACACUAAGACUGCAGACAAGUCCAGCAUCCAGCAUCUGACAGAGAGCUUUGUCAUUAAGCUGCAGGCAGACUUCCCCUCCACCGUCAGCACCAUCUACAGGACGAGCGAGAAGCUACAGAGCUGCAAGGGCUCUGCCUCAGCGGAGGGGGACAGGUGUCUGCUGUGUGUGUGCGCCCUGGACACUGCUGCUGAGAAUGCUUCAGCCUUCAGCGCCACCCUGAUCUCAGAGCAGCUCUCGCAGACUAAGUCUCCAGGAGAGAGCAGGCAAGCUCCAGAGUGGACUGCUCCCGCCUCACAGUGCUGCUCCAUUGUUGGAGGAGAGCUUUGUGGGAACCGUGGUGGAGGAUGCUGUUCGUCUGCCAAUUGUGUGACAGAGCCUCAGAGUCCCCCCCCCUGAGGAGUCUGCUGUGUUACAGCUGUCAGCUGACCAUCAAAGACAUGUCGUCUGAGGAGGUUCUCCCGCAGUACAUCCUGUCGGAGGCUGAGAGGAGGCUCAGGAGGUCUCAGCUGAGGGAGGAGAUCAGAGACUUCCUGCUGGAGGAUGAGGCUGAUGAAGGCUGAACGUUCUGCUGCAGUCAACAUAUCACUUUCAUCAUAUCCAAAAUGCAAGACUGCUAUGAAAGUGAUGUUUAAAGUAUAUAACUCUGUGUGUGACACUGAGGAAAUGUGUAAAUGCUGUUAUAAUAAACGUAGUUAUUUUUAAGACA